GCUGAGCAUAAUACAGAGAUACUCAUACGAUACAGAGAGCUGAGCAUAAUACAGAGAUACUCAUACCAUACAGAGAGCUGAGCAUAAUACAGAGAUACUCAUACGAUACAGAGAGCUGAGCAUAAUACAGAGAUACUCAUACAAUACAGAGAGCUGAGCAUAAUACAGAGAUACUCAUACAAACAGGGAGCUGAGCAUAAUAAAGAGAUA